rnacentral:rRNA from 2 species
UAAAUGCGGAAGAGAUAAGUGCUGAAAGCAUCUAAGCACGAAACUUGCCCCGAGAUGAGUUCUCCCUGAGACUAUAAGUCUCCUGAAGGAACGUUGAAGACGACGACGUUGAUAGGCCGGGUGUGUAAGCGCAGCGAUGCGUUGAGCUAACCGGUACUAAUGAACCGUGAGGCUUAACCUUACAACGCCGAAG